rnacentral:misc_RNA from 1 species
ACGACAGAAGUAGUAUUGAUUUCCUCCAUUGAUGUCUCAUUUGUAAUGCUGCAUGUCUGGGUUUCAGGUUCUUUCUCAUUUGAUUCUUCUACUGGCUCCAUUAAUGGCUUCAAAANNNNNNNCAGCCACUUCUUUGUAAGAUACAGAUUUAGAAGCCAUAGCAGAGAGGUUUGCUGAAGAACAUGACGUUUUAGGCACACAAGAUUUUUCCUGCAGUUUAAUUGAAUCCUCCACAACACUCAACCCACGUGUAUUUGAUUGCUUUGUUGCUGGUAAUUCAGUUGUAAUGGUCCUGGGAAUUGUUUUUUGAGCUGGCGAAAUGAUUUCCCUCCUGUAGCUGCUUUCUCUGAUAUUUGAGUAUUCAGAACCAUUUAUAUUCAGCUUUGCAAGAGCAGGUCGCCUACGACCUUGUUUCCUGCCAGCAGCAUUCCCCAACCUCCCUUUUGGAUUGGCUUCUAGCCAACCUUCAUCUGAUGCUGUUUCUUCAACAACUUCAACUGCAACUGUGGGCCUGUAUAUAACAACAUUAUCUUUUUCUUCUGAUUUUUCAUAUUGAACCCUGUCUACCUUUACUUCUUUGUUGCCAGUGGCCAAAGACAUUGCAUUUUCCAAUCUU